rnacentral:rRNA from 1 species
AAUAGAUACCCGGGUAGUCCACGCCGUAAACGAUGAGUGCUAAGUGUUGGGGGGUUUCCGCCCCUCAGUGCUGCAGCUAACGCAUUAAGCACUCCACCUGGGGAGUACGGUCGCAAGACUGAAACUCAAAGGAAUUGACGGGGGCCCGCACAAGCGGUGGAGCAUGUGGUUUAAUUCGAAGCAACGCGAAGAACCUUACCAGGUCUUGACAUCCCGGUGACCACUAUGGAGACAUAGUUUCCCCUUCGGGGGCAACGGUGACAGGUGGUGCAUGGUUGUCGUCAGCUCGUGUCGUGAGAUGUUGGGUUAAGUCCCGCAACGAGCGCAACCCUUAUUCUUAGUUGCCAUCAUUCAGUUGGGCACUCUAAGGAGACUGCCGGUGAUAAACCGGAGGAAGGUGGGGAUGACGUCAAAUCAUCAUGCCCCUUAUGACCUGGGCUACACACGUGCUACAAUGGACGGUACAAACGGUUGCCAACCCGCGAGGGGAGCUAAUCCGAUAAAACCGUUCUCAGUUCGGAUUGUAGGCUGCAACUCGCCUACAUGAACG